UGAGGAAUAUUGGACAAUGGGCGCAAGCCUGAUCCAGCCAUGCCGCGUGCAGGAUGACGGCCUUCGGGUUGUAAACCUCUUUCAGCAGGGACGAAGCGCAAGUGACGGUACCUGCAGAAGAAGCACCGGCUAACUACGUGCCAGCAGCCGCGGUAAUACGUAGGGUGCAAGCGUUGUUCGGAUUUACUGGGCGUAAAGGGCGCGUAGGCGGUGUGUCAAGUCAGUUGUGAAAUCUCCGAGCUUAACUCGGAACGGUCAACUGAUACUGUCACACUAGAGUACAGAAGGGGCAAUCGGAAUUCUUGGUGUAGCGGUGAAAUGCGUAGAUAUCAAGAGGAACACCUGAGGCGAAGGCGGGUUGCUGGGCUGAUACUGACGCUGAGGCGCGAAAGCUAGGGUAGCAAACGGGAUUAGAUACCCACGUAGUCCCUGAGCGGGCUGGCAAGGCGCAU
rnacentral:rRNA from 1 species